UUUGGGGUAAGAUUACGCAAUCAGUGCAUAUUUCACUUGAAAUCAGUGAUUGUUAUAUCCUAUCGAAAGUUCAAGGUCUUGUUAAAAUGGUUUUAACUACUCAAACUCAGAGAUUCAAAACAACACUCAUUGAUGCUUCUCAUAAAUACGGAGGGUCCUCGUGAUAUUAUAAAACCAUACCCAGCUGUCUGAUAAUAUCAUUACAAAGGAGAACGUCGAAGUAACAACUGCAGCAGGUCAUAUAGGAUGAAGACACUCACCAUAAUAGUACUACUGGGGGUCCUGCUCAUGUUUUGUCAUGGAUCACCGUGGGUCACCGAGCCAAUCGAUUUCCAUCAUGUCUCAGAGGAAGAGGCAGCUCUCGCCAGGCAGAGGGCUGAACGAACCAGGAUAGCAUUCGCAAGGCUCAGAAACCGCACCAGGCAGGCGUCCGGGAGAAGUGACAUACUGAUACUGAGACAAAGACUUUCUGAUCGGAACGCGGUCUAAAACCAUAAUUACAUCAUACAUGUACAGGAGAAUCAGCGAUUGUGUUAAGUGAGAAAAUCUAAAUUGAAGAGAAAACUUUUUUAUUGACUACUUAAAAUUUUAAAAAAUAGAUUGCAAUGAAGUCUUCGUUUCGUUUGCACAUGAAUGUGUCAAAUUCAAAAUUCAAAAUAAAACUUUUCACCUACCGAA